AUUGAACGCUGGCGGCAUGCCUUACACAUGCAAGUCGAGCGGAAAGGCCACUUCGGUGGUACUCGAGCGGCGAACGGGUGAGUAACACGUGAGUAAUCUGCCCCUGGCUUUGGGAUAGCCACCGGAAACGGUGAUUAAUACCGGAUACGACAACUACUUGCAUGAGUUGGUUGUGGAAAGUUUUUCGGCCAGGGAUGUGCUCGCGGCCUAUCAGCUUGAUGGUGAGGUAAUGGCUCACCAUGGCUUCGACGGGUAGCCGGCCUGAGAGGGUGACCGGUCACACUGGGACUGAGACACGGCCCAGACACCUACGGGUGGCUG
rnacentral:rRNA from 1 species